CGAACUGCUGGAGACGGCCUGACGAACGGCGUCGUCUUCCUUCAGCGCUGCGAUGGCCUCUGCUGCAUCCGC
rnacentral:tRNA from 1 species